AGUUUGGAGGCAUCUUUCAGCUUGCCGAGUAGACACCAUGAGCAAAGCUCACCCUCCCGAGUUGAAAAAAUUUAUGGACAAGAAAUUAUCAUUGAAAUUAAAUGGUGGCAGACAUGUUCAAGGAAUAUUACGGGGGUUUGAUCCAUUUAUGAAUCUUGUGAUAGAUGAAUGUGUGGAGAUGGCAACUAGUGGGCAACAGAACAAUACUGGAAUGGUGGUAAUACGAGGAAAUAGUAUCAUCAUGUUAGAAGCCUUAGAACGAGUAUAAACAAUGGAUGUGUUCAUCAGAAGAAUCAAUUGCUUCCACAUGGCCCCUCUCCAUAGUACCUGUUUUACUACAAUAUAAAAAUCAGAUUGUGUGCAUUUUCAUAUUGAGCUUUUUUGUUAAAUAAACUUUUGUAAUAGCCAAAAGAAAAAAAAAAGG